AAGACCUUUAAUUAAGUCCAGAGAGGCUUAGAAGGACCGGACCCGCUGCGGUGGGCAACUGUGUGACUGAGGACCAAACUAAAGUCGCCUUCUAUUCUCGAACUGGAUAGAAGGCGACUUUUUUU
rfam:Lactobacillus saniviri JCM 17471 = DSM 24301 NODE_5, whole genome shotgun sequence.